GGAGGGAAAAAUGGAAUUAGGGAGUAGGACCAGCUGAAAACCAUCUAGGAUGGCGGUUUUUUUUAUUAUUAGACAGAUGUGUUUUUAAAACGAAAAUACACGAGCAUCUUUCUUACUCUUGAACCCCUCAUCCUGUACACCGCCGUCUGAAGAGUAAGUUUAAAUGGCUAACUCUAUUUCUAUUUCUGCAGAAAUAAGUCAGGUAAGGUGCAGACCAUGGGUAAGAAAAAAUGCAUUUCACUAAACCCCUAGGGUGCAGGUUGAAAGCCUUUCCCAAGAUGAAUUUAAUAGUAAGGUUUUUUAAUCAUAAAAAUCUGAAUUAAUUUCAAGAAAAUGU
rnacentral:rRNA from 1 species